GGGGGGAGGCCGGAUCCUGGGCUGUGUCCCCGGCGCCCUGUGCUCUGGCACCUGCGCUGUUGGAUUCGCGCUCCCGGGCCGCACAACCCCCU
rfam:Canis lupus familiaris chromosome X, whole genome shotgun sequence.